rnacentral:rRNA from 1 species
GAUGAACGCUGACAGAAUGCUUAACAAAUGCAAGUCAACUGUGGCGGACGGGUGAGUAACGCGUAAAGAACUUGCCUCAAAGAUAGGGACAACAUUUGGAAACGAAUGCUAAUACCUGAUACUGUGAGAGAGCUUUGCGUCCCAUUAGCUAGUUGGGGAGGUAACGGCUCACCAAGGCGAUGAUGGGUAGCCGGCAUGAGAGGGGUAUCGGCCAUUAGGGGACUGAGACACUGCCCUUACUCCUACGGGAGGCAGCAGUGGGGAAUAUUGGACAAUGGACCAAAGUCUGAUCCAGCAAUUCUGUGUGCACGAUGAAGUUUUCGGAAUGUAAAGUGCUUUCAGUUGGGAAGCGGUACCAACAGAAGAAGUGACGGCUAACUACGUGCCAGCAGCCGCGGUAAUUC